CCCGGGCCUUGUACACACCGCCCGUCACACCAUGGGAGUUGGUUUGAACCUUAAGCUGGUGCGCCCAACCGUAAGGGGGCGAGCCAACCACGGUCGGGUCAGCGACUGGGGUG
rnacentral:rRNA from 1 species